GGUAUUUAUAUAUCUCGGGGAGAUUUAGAGUAUAACCUCUAAGAUCUUUGGUAUUUAAGUGUCAACAUCGAUUUAUUUAUUUAUUGCUGAGCUAACUGUAACUGACACAAUAACAAAAUCUAAUCGUGUAUUGCACUGCAAAAGAAAUAUUCUCAUUAUGUAUUUUCUCUAAAUGAUGGCUCACCAUUGCAUUUGAAUACUCGCUGUAAAUAUCAAUAAUAUCGAGUAAUUACU
rfam:Tursiops truncatus cont1.187569, whole genome shotgun sequence.